rnacentral:rRNA from 1 species
UCAGCCGCCGCGGUAAAACCAGCACCUCGAGUGGUCAGGAGGUUUAUUGGGCCUAAAGCAUCCGUAGCCGGUUGUUUAAGUUUUCGGUUAAAUCUAUGCGCUUAACGUAUAGGCUGCCGAAAAUACUGGACAGCUAGGGAGUGGGAGAGGUACACGGUACUCAAUAGGAAGGGGUAAAAUCCUUUGAUCUGUUGAUGACCACCUGUGGCGAAGGCGGUGUACCAGAACACGUUCGACGGUGAGGGAUGAAAGCUGGGGGAGCAAACCGGAUUAGAUACCCGGGUAGUCCCAGCUGUAAACGAUGCAAACUCGGUGAUGCAUUGGCUUGUGGCCAAUGCAGUGCCGCAGGGAAGCCGUUAAGUUUGCCGCCUGGGAAGUACGUACGCAAGUAUGAAACUUAAAGGAAUUGGCGGGGGAGCACAAU